UGGCUAUGAUGUCAAAAAGGCCGCACUUACGGCUGCCACUAUUGUUUGGUAUAGAAAGUGUACGUGUUUUGAGCCAG